rnacentral:rRNA from 1 species
UACAGAGGGUGCGAGCGUUGUCCGGAAUCACUGGGCGUAAAGGGCGCGUAGGUGGCGGGCCAAGUCCAUGGUGAAAGCUCGAUGCUCAACAUCGAGUCGGCCACGGAUACUGGUUCGCUCGAGCACUGUAGAGGCUAAUGGAAUUCCGGGUGUAGCGGUGGAAUGCGUAGAGAUCCGGAAGAACACCGGUGGCGAAGGCGGUUAGCUGGGCAGUUGGCUGACACUGGAGGCGCGACAGCGUGGGGAGCAAACAGG